GUCGCGCUGGCCGAGUUGGCCGGGCGCCACGAGGUUCUGCGCACCUCGGUGACGGUGGUGGACGGACGUCCGUUCCAGACGGUGCACGAGUCC
rnacentral:tRNA from 1 species